CCUCUAUCCCCAAAUUUGCUUUUAACCUGUGUUUUUUUGUUAGCUAGUUUUUUUUGAAUUCGUUAUGUUUUUCAUUCGUUCUACUCUUUCUUAACACUAACGUACUCGAAUAGAACCUUUUUUAUCUAUAAUAAGAAAGGCCUUUAAUACUUUAUUUUCGUCGUUUUAAUUGACAUAGACUCAGUCAUCUAGUAAAAUGAAAAUGAGGCUGAUGCAUCGGAAAUGGUCGGGAUAGCUCAGUUGGUAGAGCAGAGGACUGAAAAUCCUCGUGUC
rnacentral:misc_RNA from 1 species